GAUGAACGCUGGCGGCGUGCCUAAUACAUGCAAGUCGAGCGAACAGACGAGGAGCUUGCUCCUUUGACGUUAGCGGCGGACGGGUGAGUAACACGUAGGUAACCUACCUAUAAGACUGGGAUAACUUCGGGAAACCGGAGCUAAUACCGGAUAAUAUUUCAAACCGCAUGGUUCGAUAGUGAAAGAUGGCUUUGCUAUCACUUAUAGAUGGACCUGCGCCGUAUUAGCUAGUUGGUAAGGUAACGGCUUACCAAGGCAACGAUACGUAGCCGACCUGAGAGGGUGAUCGGCCACACUGGAACUGAGACACGGUCCAGACUCCUACGGGAGGCAGCAGUAGGGAAUCUUCCGCAAUGGGCGAAAGCCUGACGGAGCAACGCCGCGUGAGUGAUGAAGGUCCUCGGAUCGUAAAACUCUGUUAUUAGGGAAGAACAAACGUGUAAGUAACUGUGCACGUCUUGACGGUACCUAAUCAGAAAGCCACGGCUAACUACGUG
rnacentral:rRNA from 1 species